CAGAGAGUCAAGUGGAGGGGUGUGCCUAGCAGCAUAGGAAGUGUCCAAGCUGAGAUGCUAGGGCACCCGGGAGCCAAGCAAAAUCGAUUGCUUAUUUUCAUUUUUGCAGUGCCAGCUUUCGUCGAUGGAGGCGAGGAGGGAGAUGGAGAUUCACUUGAAAAAGCUACACUCUAGGCUCCAACAACUUUGAAGGGUGCGGCCAUGGUGGGAUGAAUACCCCGACGCUGACGUGAAGGAAGCGUGAAGAUGUUUUCUUUCCCUGAAAGGCUUACAGUGGCGCUUGUUCCUCUAUUUUUUCUGCCUUUGGUCCUUUCCUGGUUGUGUGUGAAUGAAACUAGAGUGAGUCGUUUUCGCUCUCUGAGCUCUGCCAUUGUAAGCUGGUAUCCCCAGCGCAAACUCUUUUACUUUCAAGUUCAAUAUAAGCAGGACCAAUGGUCUUUGGUCUAAUAAGUUUA